rnacentral:rRNA from 1 species
GACGAACGCUGGCGGCGUGCCUAAUACAUGCAAGUAGAACGCACAGUUUAUACCGUAGCUUGCUACACCAUAGACUGUGAGUUGCGAACGGGUGAGUAACGCGUAGGUAACCUGCCUGGUAGCGGGGGAUAACUAUUGGAAACGAUAGCUAAUACCGCAUAAUAUUAAUUAUUGCAUGAUAAUUAAUUGAAAGGUGCAAUUGCACCACUACCAGAUGGACCUGCGUUGUAUUAGCUAGUAGGUGAGGUAACGGCUCACCUAGGCGACGAUACAUAGCCGACCUGAGAGGGUGAUCGGCCACACUGGGACUGAGACACGGCCCAGACUCCUACGGGAGGCAGCAGUAGGGAAUCUUCGGCAAUAGACGAAAGUCUGACCGAGCAACGCCGCGUGAGUGAAGAAGGUUUUCGGAUCGUAAAGCUCUGUUGUAAGAGAAGAACGGGUGUGAGAGAGGAAAGUUCACACUGUGACGGUAUCUUACCAGAAAGGGACGGCUAACUACGUG